rnacentral:lncRNA from 1 species
UUGAUUCGGAUCCAUUAGAAACAAAAGAACCCCUUAUCCCUCUUUUGCAGAAACCCUAGCGUCAAAAUCUCUUAGCCAAUCUCUAAGCCAAUUCCUUCUUCUUCCCUUCAAUGCACAGCGAUCUACAAGAUGAUAAAGGCGUUUGGUUUAUGAUGUGCUUUUGAAGCAGGCAACUUUAGUUAAAGAUCAAGUUAUUGAGGCUAAACUAGAUAUUAUGCUUCUUUAAAUAGUUGGGUUAUUGAGUGAAUCUUUUGGUCUUUUGACAGAAGUGAAGAAGUUUGUUCAGAGUAUGCCAAGACACUCUAUUUAGAUGAUGUUGCUUCAGUUGCACUCAUUCCAACUCCAGUUUCAGUUUCAACAAAUCCAAAGUGGCUACUGAACUCGCAUUAAAAUACAUUACACUUAGACCUUUCAGCUGGGAUCAAGAUACUGACAAAGUCAAGGGUAAUACCAACGGUUCUAGGAACAAAACCAGAAUUACUCAGACAAUUUAUGUGUUCUUUUGAACGAAGAUAGAAUCUUGAUUAUAAAAAAGAACUCCAAAUCUAAUGAAUCUGUAUGGUUUCUUGAGGUAAGUAUUCACAUUUAUUGAUCUUGAAAUGAUAGCGUUCAUUAGGUUUUAUUAGGUGGACACACAAUUUAGACGAGAACAAAAAAGUUUGAAACAAAAGUUGUUGCUUGGAGUAAGGGGUUAUUGGUAAUGCUGAGCGGCCCAUAGUAAUUAGUAGCCCGUGUAUGUCGGGUUUGUAAUAUGUCAAAAACGUUUUGUCAAGUGAUGGUUUGAUUUGAAUUCACUAAAUUUUAUGGUUUGCAAGUAUAUCAUGAAGAUAUGAAGAUGUUUUGAUGAUGAUACCAAGUUUAAACCACUAUAACUAAAUGAAAUUAUUCUGACUUAUUUAGAGAUGUAUGAACAAUUUAUAUAUUUUGUUUAAAAAUUAUGUGUAUUUAAUUUUCAACUUAUUUAAGUUAAUAUAUUUUAUUUCACUUGAUUAUAAAUUAAAGCUGUAUAAUAUUUUCAUUUGUUAAACCGCGUGUGUACGCGGGCUCUAACCUAGUAUAUAUUAAACCAUAUCAUGUUAGCUACAUGAGCUUUUUUAUAUUUGUUUUUAGCUAUAAUUUUUUUUUAACUUUUUUUGUUUUACCACUAAAGUAUCACAUGUUUGCUAUAUGUAUUAUAUAAAUAAAUAUCAUAAAAUAAUAAUACACUCUUAUAUCAAAUCUUUUCGGCUUUAGAUAUUUAUGAUGAUUAUUAUUGGUGAAACAUAAGUGGUUAAAACUUAAAAAUUUAAUUUAUUUUGAUUUUACGUCAUCUAUAUUAUUUUUUUACACUUCUAUUUAUUGAACCGUUUAUUGUAUAUUAAAUAACAUCACAAAAAUAAUUAUAGCCGCUACAUUGUUUUUUUUUUUUUGAGUUUUUUUAUGUUUGUUUUUUAGCUACAAUUUUUUUUUUUUUUGAUUUACCAGUAAAGUAUCACAUGUUUGCUAUAUGUAUUAUAUAAAUAAAUAUCAUAAAAUAAUAAUACACUCUUAUAUCAAAUUUUUUCGGCUUUAUAUUUUUUAUGAUCAUUAUUAUUAUUGGUGAAACAUAAGUGGUUAAAAAUUAAAAAUAUUAAUUUAUUUUGCUUUUACGUCGUCUAUACUUAUAUUUAUUAAACCGUUUAUUUUAUAUUAAAUAAUAUCACAAAAAUAACUAUAGCCACUAUAUUGUUUUUUUUUAAAGUUAUUUUUUAUGUUUGCUUUUUAGCUACAACUUGUUUUUACUUUAUUGUUUUACCACUAAAGUAUCACAUGUUUGCUAUAUGUAUUAUAUAAAUAAAUAUCACAAAAUAAUAAUACACUCUUAUAUCAAAUCUUUUCGAUUUUAGAUUUUUUAUGAUCGUUAUUAUCGGUGAAACAUAAGUAGUUAAAAAUUAAAAAUGUUAAUUUAUUUUGAUUUACAUCGUCUAUAUUAUUUUUUACACUUCUAUUUAUUAUACCGUUUAUUUUAUAUUAGAUAACAUCACAAAAAUAACUAUAGCCGCUACAUUGUUUUUUUUUUAAGUUUCAAAUCAAUGCUUAUACAAUAAAUAAUAUACGCUUUUAGCCAAUAAUUUCAUUUUUAUCUUAUAACUUUCGGAUGUCAGCUUUUUUAGAAAAAAACUAAAUAAGCGAUGUGAAUUCUUAUGAAAACGGCGCAAUUUGGGUCGCUACAUCACGUCACCACAUGUUUCUUUUAAUUGCUAUAAUUUAUUUUGUUUUUGUUGUUACAUUUAUAUAUUGCAACUUCGUAGAGUUUGGUUCGUCCAAAGAUUUCACACCAUGCGAUGGGAAAAUCCUAAUUAAGGUUUAAACAUUGGGAUUUUUGUGGGUGAACAAUAAAUCGAAAAUUCCAUUCCUUAAAUGAGAUUGUUGGUGUAAUUUUUAAUUUUUGUAAUCCGUCCCGUACAUUUAUAUAAUAUCAAUUUGAAACACAUGUUGGCAUCAAGGGUUGUAUUAUAUAUUUCAUGGGUUGUACUUAACAUAUGUUGACAUCAAGGGUUAUACCAUAAGUUUGAUGAGUUGUACUUAUAUUUUUGUUCUUUUAUCUCUAAAAUGUAAAACAUAUAAAGUGAUUGGUUAGAAUCACUUUUAACCCAUACAAAUUUUUUGUGUUAUGUU